CAACAUGCUGCUGGUCACAAUAGUCGCAAUAAUCUGUUUGGUCAUUUCUCUAAUUUGUAAUAUUGUUUUCAUUUGCUUUCGAAUACAAAGAUCAGCAUGUCAACAAUUUAAAGAAAGCUCUUCUUCACCAAAAGGAAACAACUUUAGCCAAAUGGAAAAUAAUAUUGAAGCUGGACCUGAUCUGAACUACGCUGCAUUACAUUUGUCUGAUAGUAGAAGAUCAAGAGUGAAGAAAAAGAGAGAGUUGAUGACUGAAGAAAGUGUGUAUUCACAGGUUAAAGGAUCAACUUGAAAAUGACGUAUGGCAGCUUUCAUUGAAAACCACUUCUGAGAUGAAAGAGCAUAUUGUUGCCGACACACAAUCAAAAGUUGUGAAUUCAAAUAAAACUUUGA